AAUGCACCAAUUUGUAAGUCGCUCUGGAUAGGAGUGUCUGCUAAAUGACGUAAA
rfam:Salmo salar isolate Sally breed double haploid chromosome ssa19, whole genome shotgun sequence.